rnacentral:rRNA from 1 species
GACGGAGGGUGCAAGCGUUGUUCGGAAUUACUGGGCGUAAAGCGUGCGUAGACGGUUACAUAAGUCGGGUGUGAAAGCCCCGGGCUCAACCUGGGAAUUGCAUUCGAGACUGCGUAGCUAGGGUGCGGAAGAGGGAAGCGGAAUUUCCGGUGUAGCGGUGAAAUGCGUAGAUAUCGGAAGGAACACCAGUGGCGAAAGCGGCUUCCUGGUCCAGCACCGACGUUCAGGCACGAAAGCGUGGGGAGCAAACAGG